rnacentral:rRNA from 1 species
GACGAACGCUGGCGGCGUGCUUAACUCAUGCAAGUCGAACGGAAAGGCCCUGCUUUUGUGGGGUGCUCGAGUGGCGAACGGGUGAGUAACACGUGACUAACCUGCCCUUGACUUUGGGAUAACUUCAGGAAACUGGGGCUAAUACCGGAUAGGAGCUCCUGCUGCAUGGUGGGGGUUGGAAAGUUUCGGCGGUUGGGGAUGGACUCGCGGCUUAUCAGCUUGUUGGUGGGGUAGUGGCUUACCAAGGCUUUGACGGGUAGCCGGCCUGAGAGGGUGACCGGCCACAUUGGGACUGAGAUACGGACCAGACUCCUACGGGAGGCAGCAGUGGGGAAUAUUGCACAAUGGGCGGAAGCCUGAUGCAGCAACGCCGCGUGCGGGAUGACGGCCUUCGGGUUGUAAACCGCUUUCGCCUGUGACGAAGCGUGAGUGACGGUAAUGGGUAAAGAAGCACCGGCUAACUACGUG